rnacentral:rRNA from 1 species
AUUGUAAACUUCUUUUGUACAGGGNUNANCCNACUCUCGUGAGGGUAGCUGAAGGUACUGUACGAAUAAGCACCGGCCAACUCCGUGCCAGCAGCCGCGGUAAUACGGAGGGUGCAAGCGUUAUCCGGAUUUAUUGGGUUUAGAGGGUCCGUAGGCGGACCCGUAAGUCAGUGGUGAAAUCUCAUAGCUCAACUAUGAAGCUGCCAUUGAUACUGCGGGUCUUGAGUAAAUUUGAAGUGGCUGGAAUAAGUAGUGCAGCGGUGAAAUGCAUAGAUAUUACUUAGAACACCAAUUGCGAAGGCAGGUCACUAAGAUUUAACCGACGCUGAUGGACGAAAGCGCGGGUAGCGAACAGGAUUANAUANCCUGGUAGUCCACGCCGUAAACGAUGCUAACUCGUUUUUGGAUUUUCGGAUUCAG